rnacentral:rRNA from 1 species
CCUACGGGAGGCAGCAGUGGGGAAUCUUGCGCAAUGGGCGAAAGCCUGACGCAGCAACGCCGCGUGCGGGAAGAAGGCCUUCGGGUUGUAAACCGCUUUCAGCAGGAACGAAAAUGACGGUACCUGCAGAAGAAGGAGCGGCCAACUACGUGCCAGCAGCCGCGGUGACACGUAGGCUCCAAGCGUUGUCCGGAUUUAUUGGGCGUAAAGAGCUCGUAGGCGGUUCAGUAAGUCGGGUGUGAAAACUCUGGGCUCAACCCAGAGCCUGCAUUCGAAACUGCUGUGACUAGAGUUUGGUAGGGGAGCGGGGAAUUCCUAGUGUAGCGGUGAAAUGCGCAGAUAUUAGGAGGAACACCGGUGGCGAAAGCGCCGCUCUGGGCCAAUACUGACGCUGAGGAGCGAAAGCGUGGGUAGCAAACAGGAUUAGAUACCCUGGUAGUCCACGCCGUAAACGAUGGGCACUAGGUGUGGGUUUCAACUAACGAAAUCCGUGCCGUCGCUAACGCAUUAAGUGCCCCGCCUGGGGGAGGUACGGUCGCGAGACGAAACGUACGAANAGAGUAGUAACGGUCGUGUUAGAGUGCCGAACGGACGACGACGAGGGAGGAGG